UAUCCCUGUAGAUGAGCAGCACAGGGGCCAGUCCUGGCUUCUGCUGGUACCAGUGCACAGCAUAACUUUCAAUGCUGUCUCCCCCACAGGUGAUCCUGGCUGUCUGUCCCAAGGACACUGACACUGAUGGCAGCUGUGUCAGCUCAUAGGAGGCCACGCAGCCUGCAAGAGAGAGAAAGAGUGGGGAUUUGAAGACCAGGGAUCCAAUCCCGAAGAGUUGCUCUGAGGCUGAAGUCAGGUUUGCAGCAGGUGAUCCUGGCCGUCUGUCCCAAGGACACUGACACUGAUGGCAGCUGUGUCAGCUCAUAGGAGGCCACACAGCCUGCAAGAGAGAGAAAGAGUGGGGAUUUGAAGACCAGGGAUCCAAUCCCAAAGAGUUGCUCUGAGGCUGAAGUCAGGUUUGCAGCAGGUGAUCCUGGCCGUCUGUCCCAGGGACACUGACACUGAUGGCAGCUGUGUCAGCUCAUAGGAGGCCACGCAGCCUGCAAGAGAGAGAAAGAGUGGGGAUUUGAAGACCAGGGAUCCAAUCCCAAAGAGUUGCUCUGAGGCUGAGGUCAGGUUUGCAGCAGGACAGGCAGGGACCCACACACUUGAGUCAUCACCUGCUGCUCCCAGAUGUGCCCCGCGAGUGCAGUAGCAGAAAGCUGGGAUCAGAAGCGACAUCGGCACUCGACUCAGCCUAUCAGAUAUGGAUUGCCUGUGGCCCAGGUGGCAUCCUAACCACUGCCCCAAAUUCCUGCCCCACUGCUUCUGUGGUCUUCUCAUGGCUUCUAGUCUCAUUUCCUCGUGGGGUUUGCCCCCUUCUGUGACUGCACCCCCAUUAAUGUUAGACCAGCGACGGAUGCUGGGAAUUUGUGAUGGUUUCCUCUCAGGAACAUUUAAUUUAAUUUUCACAUUUUAUAUAUUUAUUUAUUUGAAAAGCAGAGUUAUGAAAAGAAGAAUAAGAGAGGUGAGAGACAGAGUCUUCUGUUAGCUGGUUCACUCCCCAAAUGCCCAGAAUUGCUGGUGCUGGGCCAGGCCAAAGCAAGGAACCUGGAGCUCCGCCUGGGUCUCCCACAUUGGUGGAUGGGGUCCAAGCAGCCGGGCCAUCUUCCACUGCUUCCCCAGGUGCACAGGCAGGGAGCUGGAUCAGAAGUGGAGCAGCCAGGCCUGGAACUGGCAUCCCCAUGGCAUGCCGUGUUGCAGAUGGUGGCUCAGCCUGCUGCACCACAGCUCCAUCCCCAUUCUCUCAGGGACUUUACAUUAAAUAUUUCCAAAGGUGAGAGACCUAGUCCUGACAGGGAAACCAACUGCAGGCAUUGUACCCUCUGUGUGAACAUCAAGGUCAUGGUCUUUGCCCGGGGCAGAGCUCUGAAGGGUAGGAGGUCAGGGGUCCCUAAGGGAGGGUUCUGUCACUGCAGCCAGGCCAGUUGUAUGGUCAGAGCGGUGGCCAGAGGCAGGGAGAGUCAACCUCCCUCUGCAGAGUCCCCUACAGGAGCUGUGGGUGCUGUACCCAGGGACCAGCUCCACCUGUCCUCUCCCCAACCUGAGAUUGCACCUGGGCUCAAGGACUGAACGCUGAUACAAAUGAGCUGCAGGGAAGAAGAGGCAAGGAGAGGAGGGUCAGGGCAGCUCUGAGAGUGUCCAGGCAGAGAUAUCAGCCCCAGGACCCCUGUUGGCCAGUGAGCUUCAUGGCCCUGAGAGUGGGCAACAGGCUGAGGCCCUGCCCUGGGGGGAAAGAGCCAGGCCCCGGGAGCCCUGGUGUCCCGCCCCGUGCUCCCUCCUGGUGCCCCAGACAAGGAGUGGGAUCCCUGUGAGCCUCACUCAGCUGGACCUGCCCACACUGUGCCCAGGGACCAGGUCCUUCAGUGCUUUUCUCAGGUGUGGCCCUCGCUGAGCCUGUCCUGGGCUGGCCCUGUGUGAGCCUGACCUCAGAAUAGGGUCCUUGCACGCCCUGGGGAUGGGACGGAUGUUGCUGACCUCCACUCGCAAUCCUGACCUUGGACACCUGUUGCUGUCUGGGGACUGGCCUCCUUCUCAGGCUCCCCCUGGGCAGCCCCCUGCCUGGCUGGGGCUUCUGCCUGCAGCUCUGCUGCCCCCUGCUGGUGGAGGAGAUUCUCAGCCAGGGCUUUUCUGCACCCAGGUUCCCAGCAAAGCCCCUGUCUCCUGAGAGGGGAGGACAGGGAGUCCAGCCUCCUUCUGUAGCAGCUGUGCCCCUGCCAGCCCAGCCCAGCCCAGCCCAGAGAGGUGGCAUCCGUGUGUGCAGGGCUCAGAGCAGGUGCAGUGUCCAUCAGUGCUUCCUGGGGUGCUGCGCCCUCCCCAGGGCUGUGUCUGUGUGAGAACAAAUGAGACCCAACUGCGACCUUAGCUUUCUGCUCUGAGACUCAGGGGGGCCGCUGUGGGAGACCCUAUGGGGGCCAGGCUCCUGUGUGCUCAGGCCCCAGACUGAGGCUCCCCCCACCCCAAUGGGGCAGCAUUGCUGUCUGGAACUGUGUGGCCCUAGUCUCCACCAUGCACUGAUGUCAUUAUUGCCAAUGUCACUGUCCCUGUCUUGUUGCUUCCCCCACACCUCUCAGCGUUUUGGGUGUGAGGACUUCUGCACUGGCCAAGCCCACCCCUUGGUGGGACUGGGCGUCUCCUGCUCCCUAUGACUCAGGGACCCCAUGCUUCCUACAGGACACAGCCUCUUGGCUGAACACCUGACGCUGGAUGCCCCAGAGGCCAGGAGUGCCCAUGUCUGCAGCUCUCUCAGCAGUCCUCAGAAUUCCAUCUUCAGCCACUAAAACCCUUCCAGUGCCGUCAUAAACUUGAUCAUUUUUUAAAAGUUUGUUUAUUUGAAAGCCAGAGUGAUAUAGAAAGAGAGGCAGAUAUUUCUGAGAUAUUCAGCCUUCUGGUUCCUUCCCCAGAUGCCUGCAUCAGCCAGGACAAGGGCAGGCUGUGGCCAGGACCCAGGCCUCCUCCCUGCCCUGACUCUGUCCCAACAGUGUGGUGGCAUCACCAGGCUGUCACCAGCCAUGAGAGUCUUCCUGUUCUGGAGGAACCAUCUGCCACUCAUGCCCGCCCUCCCAUUCCUCUUCCUCAAGCCCCCUGGAUAAACACUGUGCUUCCUGCUCCUCUCCUGAGAGCAUGUAGCCUUUCAACACCAGCCUCCCCUUACUCCUCUUUGUUUGUGAUUGGCAGUUAAGUGUCUGUUUAUUCUGUGCUCUGGCCCUGGGCACGUGUGCGAUGAGUUUUGUCCUUGUGAUGUGUGUGGGGUAUGACACUAGGGUCCCCAGCCUGGGUAACCCCCUGUGAUUGGUUGAAUUCAUUGCACCCUGGACUUCUCCAUGUCCCUCUGUGCCCCAGGGCUGGAAGAAGAGACAGAGUUCUUCUCCACCAACCUCAUCACAUGGUGGAUUUGCCAGACUCAAACCUCCUCCUCCUCCUCCUCCUCCUCCCCCCUCAUCUUCAAAGUCACUGCCACAGAGCUGAAGGAGACGUGUAAGUGCCUGACUUUCCAUCCAUUGAAAUGAGUGGCUGGGCCAUCAGUAGGUCCUGUGGUAGAAGCAGGUGUCUGCAGAUCCCAUCAGGUCAUGGUCCCGUUUGCAGGGUCUGUGACCCAGGGGGAGCUGUCAGUCAGAGGGAAGUGGGUGCAGGUGUGCAGGAUGCACCUGUGAGCUCUUCUGUCUUCCUUUCAGGGAGGAGGGGCAUGGGCAGUGAGCGCGCCCCCGUGGAGUGGGUGUCAGUGGACAUCUCCAUUCCAUCCCUCGGCCUCCUUACUCUCCCUUCUUUAUCAUCACAUGGUCCUUGAGGGUGUGGGCCACCUGCACAUUGGAACACCCAGGUGUCUGUCACAUCGUGGUCAUGGAGCCGAUGCCACAUGGGGCAGGCACUGUGGAAUGGUCAGGAGAGAGUCCUGCACUCAGGGAGUGGAGAAUCAAACACAGGUGCCUGGUCCUCCCCUAAUCAGAAGCGGGGAGGUUGGUAGUUUCCUGCAUUCUAGGCAGGCCCGUCAGCAUAAAGGACGGGUUGGUACCGGCAGCCCCACCACCAAGGAGGCUUUGACCCUCAUGGACUCCAUGGAGUCUGCAGUUGUGUGGGUCACACAUGGGGAAGUUGCCACAAAGCAAACAUCAGGAGCAGGGAAGGGCUGUGUCACGUGUGUGGCAGUGGUGUCAGCUCCCUGCUGUUUGCGCCCUGAGAUCCUGCAGCCUUAACAGAAUAGAAGCAUUUGUGAUGGGAACAGAAAUAGUGUGUUUAUGGUGGACCCCGUACAGGAACCUCCAGGCAAAUUCAAGGAGUUGGUACCAAGGCCAAGUCAUUUUCCAUGGAAUCCAUGCACUUUGAGAAAAGCUUGGUUCUGGUCCACGCUCACACCUGCUUCUCCUGCAGAGCCGAUGCCCCUGGCCUCAGACAGGCAGAGCAGGGCCUGGACUGCAGUGAGGAGAUGCCAGGGUUGACCAUGAACUCUUUCUCCAGGAAACCGGGCUUCCAGUGGAAUCUAAACUGCUUCUCCUGCUGCUGGGGCUGUGGUGAGAACCCAUCUGAGUGAGCUGAGACUGAGGUCAAAGUUAUUGCUCAGAGGGUGGUGAGAGGGAGAGGCAGGCCUGCACCGGGAGGUUCUUGUUCCUUGGCCCCAUCUAUCUGUGCCACUGUGAGUCACUGAUAGCUGCUGCCACUGCCAUCGUCUGUAGCACAGUAGUAGUCAGCCUCGUCCCCGGCCUGGGCCCCGCUGAUGGUCAGGGUGGCCGUGUUCCCUGAGCUGGAGCCAGAGAAGCGGUCAGGGACCCCUGAGGGCCGACUGGUAUCCCUGUAGAUGAGCAGCACAGGGGCCUGGCCUGGCUUCUGCUGGUACCAGGAAGCAUAACUUCUGCUCAGUGUAUCUGCAGUGCAUGUGAGGGAGACCGUCUGUCCCAAGUUCACCUGCACUGAGGCUGGCUGAGUCAGCACGAGGGAGAGGAAGGGGGAGAUGGGCUCUAGGAUCACAGGCCUUCCAGAGAGUUCCGUGUAAUCCUGGGCUGGUCAACUCCACGGAUUUUUGGUCCCACAGGCUGCCCCUCCCAUCCUUCUCAGCCUCAGUAGCCAUGGGCUGGGCUAGGGGAUGGAGCCUUAGAAGCAAUGAGCAGGGGCAGCCCCUUGGACUCCCAGAUGUCCACAGGCACUGAGAUGUGGUGUCUCCACCCCUUCCCUCCCCAGGCAGCAGAUUCUAGAGUGCUGUGCCCCCCAACCCCACAGUAGGACUCUGCUGAGCUCAGAGUGAGGCCAAGCAGGUAUCAGAGUCCUGGGCUGGGCAGGGUGGAGGCCCUGGGACAGCAUCCGUGCAGUGAGUGAAGAGGCCCAGGAGGACAAGGGUGCAGGCCAUGGCAGAGGCGCCCCUGAGCUGCUUUCCUGAGGCUCAGGCUGGGCUGGGCUCCUCCCAGGCCUUUCUUAUCCCCUGGCUGCUGAGAGCAGCCCCAAAUGCAAAUCAGCUGGGCUUUGGGCUGCUGCCUAGGAGCCUGUGGUUUCCUGAGCAGGGCUCAGCCCAGGUGCAGAGAGAAGGGCCCUGUGGACCCUGACCAAGCCCUGCGCACUCCUUCCCCUGCUGUCGCCUGGUCUAGGCCGACAUUGUCCCCCACACUACGUCCUGGCCUUGCUCCUGGGCUGCCUGGCAGAGCUCAGAGGGGAUCAGUCUGCCUCUCCUGACCCCAGUCUGCAGGAGACCCUCAGAGGUAUAGACUCAGGCAAGUCACUGCCCCACAACAAGCUACCUGGUUUGUAGGGUCUAAAGGAAACCAACCCCUCCAUGGCCAAGGUCACAUUGUGUGUUUAAAGGUCCCAACAUGUGCCAUGUCUCCUGGGACCAGCAGGUGAAAUGUUGUGUGCCUUGGUAUCCCCAGCAUGCCCAAGAGGCAGAAGUGGAUUGGGAGAUUGAGAAAUAUUUGAUAGUCAUAAAUUUUUGGCUCAGUUGGUAUGGAGAACAGGUGGUAUGGGAAAUGUGUGUAUUUGUACCGAUCCUAAAAUUGCACGAUCUUUACAAGAGGGAGACCUGCGUUGUAGAGUGUCAAGGAUGAUGCUGUUGAACAAUGACCUCUUGUCCUCAAGGACUCAGGUCCUGGUCCCUGAGCUUCCCUGCAGGCUGGGAUCCCCCAGGUGCCCAAGGCAAGCCCUGCCCAGGUGGCUGUGCCUGCUAAGUCUUUGCUGCCCCCUGGUGGCUCCACAUAGGAUGAGGGAGGCUCAGCAGCGUCUCAGGUCCAGGUGCUGCUCAGGUCUGAUUCCUGAUUAAUCACCUGCUUGACCCCUGCUUAGUGUGGCCCCUACCUGCUUAGGGCCCAGGCACUGUGGGAAUCCAAUGACCUGUGAAGAUCUGAACAUGCCCUUUGGAGAACGAGCAGAUAGGAUCCGUCUGUCACUGGGCUGUGGAGUCCAGGGAGGUGGGAUCAGGACUUCUUAGCACCAUGAGGCUGGGUCUAGCUUUUGCUCUUCCUGUCUGCACACACAGGGCCCACUGGGGGUUAGCAGCUGCUACAGCCGAGACAGACACUGGAGAACAUUCAGCCAACAAACCAUGAUUCAGAUCCACUCUGCAAGGGUGAUUUCCAACCUAGGGAUCCCAUGUGCACUUGACACAGCCCCUGCCUUCUCAAGUUUUUAACCAGAUGUGAAAGAUGCAGCCCCAGCAGCGCAUGUGUGAUGAGAUUCCACAGGUGCAGCAGAGGUAAGAACCCACCCUGCAGGCAUGAAAACAUAGCAUACAUGCGUAAAGGAGCAUGUGUGUGAGGGUCCUGGAGAUGGUGCCCUCCUAAGAGUGGACAUUGUGGAGGGCUCACAUCGAAGGUCCACUGAUAAACACUAAUACAAAAGACACAGAGAUGAAAGCAAGAAGAUAUGCAUUCUCCAACAAGUACCAGGAAAAUAACCAUGGCCCAGUGAGAUGGUCAAGUGGCACAGGACACCUGUAAUCAGGUCUCAGUAGAAGAGACAUAGGGAGAAGUGAGCCAAUGCUGCAGUAGCUUCAGUAAACUCAGUGCGCAGGAUCAGACACUCAGUGAGUGUCAGACGUGAGCGCGACACAGCCACGUGCAUCCUGGGGUCCCCAGAGCUGUUGCUGAGAGGAAGGCCUUGUAGAUCUCUGUGACGCCUCGGGACCACCAGGCAGAGAGAGCACUGCCAGCCACAGAUGUGCACGCCCCGUGAUUGUUAAACAGUAGUUAUUCAUUAUUUGAAAGGCAGAAUUUUUUUUAACUUUAUACAAUGUUUAUAGCAGCUUUAUUACUAAAAGCAACAAUCUUAAGACAACCAAGAGACCCUUCAACAGAAAUCCAUGGGGCCUCAUUUUGAACGAAUUUAUUAGAUUCUUGUAUGCUUUAAUAACAUGCGAGAUGCUAUAGGAUCACGUCAAAACAAAAAAAAUGAGCAAAGGAAACAGGUGAAUUGAUGCUAAGUAUAAGCUAAAUCAACUCCAGCACUUUGCCAGGAGCCUCGCUUUUUUUUUUUCAGGCUCUUUUUUUUUUCAUUUUCUUGUGUAUAUACUUUGCUUUUUUAACUUUUAUUUAGUAAAUAUAAAUUUUAAAAGUACAACUUUUGGAUUAUAGUGGCUUUCCCCUCCCAUAACCUCCCUCCCACCAGCAACCAUCCCAUCUCCCACUCCCUCUCCCAUCCCAUUCUUCAUCGAUUCAUUUUUAGUUAUCUUUCUAUGCAGAAGAUCAACUUGGUAUAUACUAAGUAAAGAUUUCAACAAUUUGCACCCACACAGAUACGCAAAGUAUAAAGUACUGUUUGAGUAGUAGUUUUACCGUUUAUUCACAUACUACAACACAUUAAGGACAGAGAUCCUACAUGGGGAGCAAGUGUACAGUGACUCCCGUUGUUGAUUUAACAAUUGACACUCUUAUUUAUGACGUCAGUAAUCACCCAAGUCUCUUGUCAUGAGCGCCAAGGCUAUGGAAGCCUCUUGAGUUUGCCAACUCCGACCUUAUUUAGACAAGGCCAUAAUCAAAGUGGAAGUUAUCUCCUCCCUUCAGAGAAAGGUACCUCCUUCUUUGAUGGCCCGUUCUUACUGCUGGGAUCUCACUCACAGAGAUCUUUCAUCUAGGUUAUUAUUUUUUGCCAGAGUGUCUUGGCUUUUCAUCCCUGAGAAACUCUCAUUGGCUUUUUAGCCAGAUCCGAACGCUUUAAGGGCUGAUGCUGAGGCCAGAGUCCUGUUUUGGACAUCUGCCAUUCUAUGAGACUGCUGUGUGGCCUGCUUCCCAUGUUGGAUCGU